UACGAAGGGAGCUAGCGUUGUUCGGAAUUACUGGGCGUAAAGAGUACGUAGGCUGUUAUUUAAGUUAGGUGUGAAAGCCCCGGGCUCAACCCGGGAAUUGCACUUAAAACUGAGUAACUUGAGAUUGGGAGAGGAAAGUGGAAUUACUAGUGUAGAGGUGAAAUUCGUAGAUAUUAGUAAGAACACCAGUGGCGAAGGCGACUUUCUGGACCAAUACUGACGCUGAGGUACGAAAGCGUGGGGAGCAAACAGG
rnacentral:rRNA from 1 species